UAAAGAUAGCAACAGAGUGGAGAUGUUCAUUUAUGAACUUACGGUUAUUCCUUUCUUUCCAAAUAGCAUAGACAACAUCUUGUAGGCACAACUUCUUAAUGCUAAGAUCUAACGACUUACUUUUCCAAUUAUUAGUAGACCAAGUGAUAAACUCAUACCAAUCCAAAGGAGGAGGAUCACAACCACACUUAAAAAGCACAUGAGACCAAAUAUUGGUACUAUGGUUGUGAGACUCAUUAUCAGUCAAGCAAAGAUAGCAAAUAGGCGAGGCAUGAGGGGUAAAGACCAUCACCCAAUCCAUAAUACAUAACUUACCCCUUAUAGCCAGCCAAAGAAUGAAGCUCCACCUUGGGAUGUGCUUACCAAACCACAAAAGACCAGCCCAUAGGACCUUCGGAUGAGACAGUGGUAUCCAAUGUAAUAAGUUUUUUAUUUUCAAUGUUAAUUAAAUGUCUCAAACACAUUUAAAUUUAAACUUAAUUAAGUUGGUUAGAAUAUAAUAUUUUUUUCGUCUCCGCUCAAAUUUGAAUAUUCAUCCACAUGACUUAGAUGAGUUCUUUAUAGAAUAUAGCUUGUAUGAAAAAACAACUCAAACGUAAAGAGCUUUUGGUUUCAUGAUACUCGUGUUUAUUUAAUUAGAAAAUGUGUCAAGUUCAAUAUAUAUUAGCACGAAAAUGAUGGAGGUUUAUGAUAUGCUUGGUUCCAUUUGUGCUGGAGCGGAUUCACUCUGGGGCCAAGGUGGGUUAGUUGAUCCUUCUAAGCUCAGAAUUCUUCCAUGGAAAAGUUUUGUGCUGCCCUUUGAAAAUUUUUGGGUUGUACUACUCGACGAAUUGUCUCUAUAGACACUGGUAUGGUAACUGCUAGUCUUAUGCCGUUGUAUGCAUUGAUAUACGCAUCUUUGAUAGGCUCACUUGACAUAUGUUGACAUUUGUCGACAUGCUCACUCAAAGCUAUUGACAUCAGUCGACAUGUUUGUUCAUAAACUGUUGGCAUCUGUCGACUGGCGUGCAAUCUAACUUGACCAAUGACCUUAGGCCUACAGGUAAUACUAUGAGACCAAAUUUUUAAACCAAAUUGUGUAAACCAUAUGAUGUGGUUGUUGGUGAUUAGAUUGUUAAUUAACUGUCAAUUAACAUGUUUAAUUCCUAUUAGUGACACAUUAUUUGAUUUACAAAUUUAGUUUAAAAAUUUAGCGUUUCUAACAUUAUGCUUCUUAUAAACCCCCCAUAAUAUUACUUAGAUGAUUGAAUCUGCCACAACAUUUGUGACCAUCCUUUCAUCCUUUUGUGUUGUUACGAUUACUAAUUAUUCAUUUUAACCAUGAUUAUUGAUGUUAAUUCAUGAAUUUGUACUUUCAGUAAAUUACAGCAAUGAUCAUUUAACUUUAA
rnacentral:lncRNA from 1 species